rnacentral:rRNA from 1 species
AACCCAGUGUGAUUCGUCACACUAUCGUUAACUGAAUACAUAGGUUAACGAGGCGAACCGGGGGAACUGAAACAUCUAAGUACCCCGAGGAAAAGAAAUCAACCGAGAUUCCCCCAGUAGCGGCGAGCGAACGGGGAGCAGCCCAGAGUCUGAAUCAGCUUGUGUGUUAGUGGAACGGUCUGGAAAGUCCGACGGUACAGGGUGAUAGUCCCGUACACCAAAAUGCACAGGUUGUGAACUCGAAGAGUAGGGCGGGACACGUGGUAUCCUGUCUGAAUAUGGGGGGACCAUCCUCCAAGGCUAAAUACUCCUGACUGACCGAUAGUGAACCAGUACCGUGAGGGAAAGGCGAAAAGAACCCCGGCGAGGGGAGUGAAAAAGAACCUGAAACCGUGUAC